rnacentral:rRNA from 1 species
GGGUAUGCAGGUGAGCGUAGGCGGGGAAAGACGGAGGGGGCGAGCGUUGUUCGGAAUUACGGGGCGUAAAGGGCGUGUAGGCGGUCUGGCAAGUCAGGUGUGAAAGCCCCGGGGUCAACUUGGGAACUGCAUUUGAUACUGCCAAACUAGAGUACGGAAGAGGUGACUGGAAUUCCCAGUGUAGCGGUGAAAUGCGUAGAUAUUGGGAGGAACACCAGAUGCGAAGGCGGGUCACUGGGCCGAUACUGACGCUGAUACGCGAAAGCCAGGGGAGCGAACGGGAUUAGAUACCUAGUAGUC